CGUAGUCUGCUGUAUGCA
rnacentral:rRNA from 1 species